rnacentral:rRNA from 1 species
UACGUAGGGGGCAAGCGUUGUCCGGAUUUAUUGGGCGUAAAGAGCGUGUAGGCGGUUCGGUAGGUCCGUUGUGAAAACUCGAGGCUCAACCUCGAGACGCCGAUGGAAACCAUCGAACUAGAGUCCGGAAGAGGAGAGUGGAAUUCCUGGUGUAGCGGUGAAAUGCGCAGAUAUCAGGAAGAACACCAGAGGCGAAGGCGGCUACCUGGACAAUUGCUGACGCUCAGGCACGAAAGCGUGGGGAGCAAAAGGG